GGACUACCCGGGUAUCUAAUCCUGUUUGCUCCCCACGCUUUCGCGUCUCAGCGUCAGUGUCCGUCCAGGUCGCCGCCUUCGCCACUGGUGUUCCUCCCGAUAUCUACGAAUUUCACCUCUACACCGGGAAUUCCGCGACCCUCUCCGGCACUCAAGUCCAAAAGUUUCCUCCGCACUUCCUUGGUUAAGCCAAGGGCUUUCACAAAGGACUUUUUAGACCGCCUACAAGCGCUUUACGCCCAAUAAUUCCGAACAACGCUCGCACCCUCUGUAUUACCGCGGCGGCUGGCAC
rnacentral:rRNA from 1 species